CGUUGAAACAGCAGUUCCCAUACGAUCACCGAUGUGAAGCAACAUCGAGCCUGGUCAGUACCUAGAUGGGUGACCACCUUUGGAAGGCCAUGUGCUGUAAG